AAAGGCAGAUGCUUCACCGACUGAGCCACCCAGGUGCCCAGAUGCAUUUAUUUCCGAUCGAUGCCCCUCUAUUACAUCUCUUGAGACAGCUGAAGAAAGAUCUUGCCCCACUCUGAGCACACACAGACGAGUCUGCCCCCGUGUGACUACCAGGCCACCAGGGCCUCCCGCAACCCAUCGUGGACCUGUUUGAGAAUCGCCCCACAUCCAAGUGACACAAAACCAGAACAGUAACCCAUCUGAAGAGAGACUUCAAGCUUCACUUUUGAAUCAACUGGAAAUUUGGACAAAACUUCUGUUGACAUAUCUGCCUCUUUCACUUUCAGUUCAAGGAGACUCAGUGACCUUUUUUAAAGGAUGUGACUCUCUUUGCCUGGCAAACAAUAAAUUCCUGUCUAUACAUUUA